rnacentral:rRNA from 1 species
GAUGAACGCUGGCGGCGUGCCUAAUACAUGCAAGUCGAGCGAACGGACGAGAAGCUUGCUUCUCUGAUGUUAGCGGCGGACGGGUGAGUAACACGUGGAUAACCUACCUAUAAGACUGGGAUAACUUCGGGAAACCGGAGCUAAUACCGGAUGAUAUUUUGAACCGCAUGGUUCAAAAGUGAAAGACGGUCUUGCUGUCACUUAUAGAUGGAUCCGCGCUGCAUUAGCUAGUUGGUAAGGUAACGGCUUACCAAGGCAACGAUGCAUAGCCGACCUGAGAGGGUGAUCGGCCACACUGGAACUGAGACACGGUCCAGACUCCUACGGGAGGCAGCAGUAGGGAAUCUUCCGCAAAGGGCGAAAGCCUGACGGAGCGACGCCGCGUGAGUGAUGAAGGUCUUCGGAUCGUAAAACUCUGUUAUUAGGGAAGAACAUAUGUGUAAGUAACUGUGCACAUCUUGACGGUACCUAAUCAGAAAGCCACGGUUAACUACGUG